UACGUAGGGUGCAAGCGUUGUCCGGAAUUAUUGGGCGUAAAGAGCUCGUAGGCGGUUUGUUGCGUCGGCUGUGAAAUCCCGAGGCUCAACCUCGGGUCUGCAGUCGAUACGAGCAAACUAGAGUGUUGCAGGGGAGACUGGAAUUCCUGGUGUAGCGGUGAAAUGCGCAGAUAUUCAGGAGGAACACCGGUGGCGAAGGCGGGUCUCUGGGCAACAACUGACGCUGGAGGAGCGGAA
rnacentral:rRNA from 1 species